GCCGGAGUGGCGGAAUAGGCAGACGCGUUGGACUCAAAAUCCAGCGGGGAUCACACCCCGUGUCGGUUCGAAUCCGACCUCCGGCACCA
rnacentral:tRNA from 1 species